UGGGGAAUAUUGCACAAUGGGGGAAAUCCUGAUGCAGCGACGCCGCGUGAACGAAGAAGGUAUUCGUAUCGUAAAGUUCUGUCCUAUGGGAAGAUAAUGACAGUACCAUAGAAGAAAGCUCCGGCUAAAUACGUGCCAGCAGCCGCGGUAAUACGUAUGGAGCGAGCGUUGUCCGGAAUUAUUGGGCGUAAAGGGUACGCAGGCGGUUUAAUAAGUCGAAUGUUAAAGAUCGGGGCUCAACCCCGUAAAGCAUUGGAAACUGAUAAACUUGAGUAGUGGAGAGAAAAGUGGAAUUCCUAGUGUAGUGGUGAAAUACGUAGAUAUUAGGAGGAAUACCAGUAGCGAAGGCGACUUUCUGGACACAAACUGACGCUGAGGUACGAAAGCGUGGGGAGCAAACAGGAUUAGAUACCCUGGUAGUCCACGCCGUAAACGAUGAGUGCUAGGUGUUAGACCCUUUCCGGGGUUUAGUGUCGCAGCUAACGCAUUAAGCACUCCGCCUGGGGAGUACGACCGCAAGGUUG
rnacentral:rRNA from 1 species